UAGAGUGCUGGUAGCGCGCCGCGCGGCCUA
rnacentral:sRNA from 1 species